rnacentral:rRNA from 1 species
AACGAACGCUGGCGGCGUGGAUAAGACAUGCAAGUCGAACGGGACAACAUUUGUAGCAAUACCGAUGUUGUUUAGUGGCGAACGGGUGCGUAACACGUGGGCAAUCUGCCGAGAAGUGGGGGAUAGCUCGCCGAAAGGCGAAUUAAUACCGCAUAUGAUCAGAGGAGACAUUUCUUCGACAUCAAAGCCGGGGCAACCUGGCGCUUUUUGAGGAGCCCGCGGCCUAUCAGCUAGUUGGUGAGGUAACGGCUCACCAAGGCUUUGACGGGUAGCUGGUCUGAGAGGACGACCAGUCACACUGGAACUGAGACACGGUCCAGACACCUACGGGUGGCAGCAGUCGAGUAAUUUUUUCU